rnacentral:pre_miRNA from 1 species
GGUUCAAACUCGAAGUAGAGUAGUUUAGUAGGUUCAGAUUAGCCUUCUAAUCUACUUUACUUCAAAUUUGGGCCC